rnacentral:rRNA from 1 species
UACGUAGGGUGCAAGCGUUGUCCGGAAUUAUUGGGCGUAAAGAGCUCGUAGGCGGUCUGUUGCGUCGGCUGUGAAAACCCGGGGCUCAACUCCGGGCCUGCAGCCGAUACGGGCAGACUAGAGUUCGGCAGGGGAGACUGGAAUUCCUGGUGUAGCGGUGAAAUGCGCAGAUAUCAGGAGGAACACCGAUGGCGAAGGCAGGUCUCUGGGCCACUACUGACGUUGAGAAGCGAAAGCAUGGGGAGCGAACAGG